rnacentral:rRNA from 1 species
UCCGUAGGUGAACCUGCGGAGGGAUCAUUAAAGAGUUGCAAAACUCCCACAACCAUCGCGAACGUUACCCGUAACCGUUGCCUCGGCGGCGUCGGCCCCUCUGGGGUCGCCCGCCGGCGGUACCCGAAACCAUGUUUUUGUAGGCCUCUCUGAGUAACUUAUCAAAUAAGUCAAAACUUUUAACAACGGAUCUCUUGGUUCUGGCAUCGAUGAAGAACGCAGCGAAAUGCGAUAAGUAAUGUGAAUUGCAGAAUUCAGUGAAUCAUCGAAUCUUUGAACGCACAUUGCGCCCGCCAGUAUUCUGGCGGGCAUGCCUGUUCGAGCGUCAUUUCAACCAUCAAGCCCCCGGGCUUGCGUUGGGGCCCCUGCGGCUGCCGCAGACCCCUAAAACCAGUGGCGGGCUCGCUGUCACACCGAGCGCAGUAGCAAUAUCUCGCUCUGGGCGUGGCGCGGGUGCUUGCCGUAAAACACACCACUUAACAAGGUUGACCUCGGAUCAGGUAGGAAUACCCGCUGAACUUAA